CUGUAGAGGCUGACCACCAUCCACGGCUCUGUGGGGUGCAGGUCCACGCUCUUCACCCGGUCGGAUCGGGCCGUCAGCCUCCGCUUGAUGUCCAGUCGCAGAGGCUGAGGGGCAGAGAGAGAGAGAGAAUGAAAGGAGAGAAAGAGAAAGGGAGCAUGGGCCUCGACAAGAUGGUACAGCAUGUCUCCCUCGAUCCAGUGUUUCCAGCCGCGAUUCUCCUUCUCCCCCUUCUGGACGCACACCAGCUUGUCCCCUUCCCAGGGAAAGGCUCGUCCACCCAUGACCUGACUAUUACCUUGAAGUCAUUUUCUGACUUCAUUGUGACAUCAUAAUGGCGUCAUUCCUACCAUAUGUGUCUAUAGAAUUAAAGGAGACAGAAAUACCUGGAGACAUGCAUUUUUUAACUAUUUAGUUCUGACAUCUGAUGGGAAAUCACUUUGUGAUCAAUAAAACUUUCAGCUUGUUGUCUCCA